UGGGGAAUAUUGGACAAUGGGCGAAAGCCUGAUCCAGCCAUGCCGCGUGAGUGACGAAGGCCUUAGGGUUGUAAAACUCUUUCGUCGGGGACGAUAAUGACGGUACCCGAAGAAGAAGCUCCGGCUAACUUCGUGCCAGCAGCCGCGGUAAUACGAAGGGAGCUAGCGUUGUUCGGAAUCACUGGGCGUAAAGCGCACGUAGGCGGAUAGUUAAGUCAGGGGUGAAAUCCCGAGGCUCAACCUCGGAACUGCCUCCGAUACAGCACGUCUCGAGUCCGGAAGAGGUGAGUGGAAUUCCUAGUGUAGAGGUGAAAUUCGUAGAUAUUAGGAAGAACACCAGUGGCGAAGGCGGCUCACUGGUCCGGUACUGACGCUGAGGUGCGAAAGCGUGGGGAGCAAACAGGAUUAGAUACCCAAGUAGUCCCUGAGCGGGCUGGCAAGGCGCAU
rnacentral:rRNA from 1 species